rnacentral:rRNA from 1 species
AGUGAACGCUGGCGGUAGGCCUAACACAUGCAAGUCGAACGGCAGCACAGGAGAGCUUGCUCUCUGGGUGGCGAGUGGCGGACGGGUGAGGAAUACAUCGGAAUCUACUCUGUCGUGGGGGAUAACGUAGGGAAACUUACGCUAAUACCGCAUACGACCUACGGGUGAAAGCAGGGGAUCUUCGGACCUUGCGCGAUUGAAUGAGCCGAUGUCGGAUUAGCUAGUUGGCGGGGUAAAGGCCCAGCAAGGCGACGAUCCGUAGCUAGUCUGAGAGGAUGAUAAGCCACACUGGAACUGAGACACGGUCCAGACUCCUACGGGAGGCAGCAGUGGGGAAUAUGGGACAAUGGGCGCAAGCCUUAUCCAGCCAUACCGCGUAGGUGAAGAAGGGCUUCGGGUUGUAAAGCCCUUUUGUUGGGAAAGAAAUCCAGCUGGCUAAUACCCGGUUGGGAUGACAGUACCCAAAGAAUAAGCACCGGCUAACUUCGUGCCAGCCGCCGCCGUAA